AAAUUGAAGAGUUUGAUCAUGGCUCAGAUUGAACGCUGGCGGCAGGCCUAACACAUGCAAGUCGAACGGUAACAGAAAGAAGCUUGCUUCUUUGCUGACGAGUGGCGGACGGGUGAGUAAUGUCUGGGAAACUGCCUGAUGGAGGGGGAUAACUACUGGAAACGGUAGCUAAUACCGCAUAACGUCGCAAGACCAAAGAGGGGGACCUUCGGGCCUCUUGCCAUCGGAUGUGCCCAGAUGGGAUUAGCUAGU
rnacentral:rRNA from 1 species